UACGUAGGGUGCAAGCGUUGUCCGGAAUUAUUGGGCGUAAAGAGCUCGUAGGCGGUUUGUCGCGUCUGCUGUGAAAACCCGAGGCUCAACCUCGGGCCUGCAGUGGGUACGGGCAGACUAGAGUGCGGUAGGGGAGAUUGGAAUUCCUGGUGUAGCGGUGGAAUGCGCAGAUAUCAGGAGGAACACCAAUGGCGAAGGCAGAUCUCUGGGCCGUAACUGACGCUGAGGAGCGAAAGCAUGGGGAGCGAACAGG
rnacentral:rRNA from 2 species